ACAAUGCUUUAGGUAUAUAAACGUCUAAAUUUUAGCUUCAUUACCGAAUGCUCAAACUCCUCCGAGCAGCGACAAAGUAACGAUCAUACAAGAUGAACACCAAACAGUUGAUGUGUUUGUUAGUGGCGGCCGUAGUGCUUCUAGCGAGUGCUCCGGUAGCAAACGCCCAAUACUAUGAUUACGGUUAUGGUGGUAACAACUAUGGCUAUCCCGGAAACUAUGGCUACGGGGGAAACUAUGGUGGAUAUCCAGGAAAUUAUGGCGACUAUGACAACUAUGGCGACUAUGACAACUAUGGUGGCGGAUGGUUAUACAAACUCCUCGGAGGGGGUCGCAGAGGUGGUCGUUACGGCUAUGGCAAAUAAUAAAUAACGUAAACCAUUGAUUAAAGGAAAACGCAUCUUACAAGACCAUACUUGGAUAAAUGUACAGCAACCGUUUCCUUGUAAUUUACGUUCAAAUAAAGUUGUAGACAUCAAUACAUAAACUAAA